UAGGGAAUCUUCGGCAAUGGACGAAAGUCUGACCGAGCAACGCCGCGUGAGUGAAGAAGGUUUUCGGAUCGUAAAACUCUGUUGUUAGAGAAGAACAAGGACGUUAGUAACUGAACGUCCCCUGACGGUAUCUAACCAGAAAGCCACGGCUAACUACGUGCCAGCAGCCGCGGUAAUACGUAGGUGGCAAGCGUUGUCCGGAUUUAUUGGGCGUAAAGCGAGCGCAGGCGGUUUCUUAAGUCUGAUGUGAUAGCCCCCGGCUCAACCGGGGAGGGUCAUUGGAAACUGGGAGACUUGAGUGCAGAAGAGGAGAGUGGAAUUCCAUGUGUAGCGGUGCAAUGCGUAGAUAUAUAGAGGAACACCAGUGGCGAAGGCGGCUCUCUAGACUGUAACUGUCGCUGAGGCUCGAAAGCGUGGGGAGCAAACAGG
rnacentral:rRNA from 1 species